GACGAACGCUGGCGGCGUGCUUAACACAUGCAAGUCGAACGGUGAAGCGCCUUCCUUUUUGGUGGGUGUGGAUGAGUGGCGAACGGGUGAGUAACACGUGAGUAACCUGCCCCCUUCUUCUGGAUAACCGCAUGAAAGUGUGGCUAAUACGGGAUAUUCUGGGUCUGUCGCAUGAUGGGUCUGUGAAAGAUAUUGUUUCGGUGGGGGAUGGGCUCGCGGCCUAUCAGCUUGUUGGUGGGGUGAUGGCCUACCAAGGCGGUGACGGGUAGCCGGCCUGGGAGGGUGGACGGUAAGACAGGGACGGAGACACGGCCGGGACUCCGACGGGAGGCAGCAGUGGGGAAUAUUGCACAAUGGGAGAAAGCCUGAUGCAGCGACGCCGCGGGAGGGAUGGAGGCCUUCGGGUUGUGAACCUCUUUCGCCAGUGAAGCAGGCCUGCCUCGUUUGUGGGUGGGUUGACGGUAGCUGGAUAAGAAGCGCCGGCUAACUACGUG
rnacentral:rRNA from 1 species